rnacentral:rRNA from 1 species
AUUAACGCUAGCGGCAGGCAUAAUACAUGCAAGUUGAACGGCAGCACAGGUAGCAAUACCGGGUGGCGAGUGGCGCGCGGGUGCGUAACACGUAUGCAACCUACCCUAUACAGGCGAAUAACCUUUAGAAAUGAGGGCUAAUACGCCGUGGUAUUAUCUUGGGGCAUCUUGAGAUAAUUAAAGAUUUAUCGGUAUAGGAUGGGCAUGCGUCCCAUUAGUUAGUUGGUAGGGUAACGGCCUACCAAGGCGAUGAUGGGUAGGGG